CAAAUAUUAUGCUAGCUUAGAAGCAUAAGUAUAACAUAAUAGAUUUGAGCUCUUAUUAAUGAACGUUUGGGCUUUUAAUCACAUCUUAUGUGUAAAGGAGCGGUUUUGAUAGCUUUGUAAACGUUUUUGAUGAUAAUAUGUCAAAAGAUAAUUGGAAGUAAGCUAAUUAAUUAAAACUAAAAGUCUGCACUGUAGAGUCUAUCAGUGACGUCACUCGCGGUCUAAAUUUGGCUGACACUAUUUCAAACCAGAUUUUCAAACACGUUUUGAUUUUUCAUUGUAAACAAAUAUUGAUUAAAAUUGUACUGUGAUUUCAGGAGUGUCUUAAAAACCCUCUAAAACAGAGGGGAAGUUCCAAGAAAAUUUCUAAUGGGAGCUGCUGACAGAGAUAGAAAACACAGUUUGUUUAUUUCUAAUAAGGAGCUGGAGGCUGUGGAGAAGCAGAUCCGUGACCUCGUAGAGAAGCAGGCCCAGCUGAGAGAGUGGAGAGCUGUGCUGGAAACAUUCAGGGGUUGACGCUCAUAAGUCCAGGGGCAGUUUGUGAAGACAGAUAAUCAAGAGAAGUCAGUUCCAGAUCCACCUUCCACACCAGACCUCUCUCUCACGAGGAUUGCUGUCUACUAGCAUAUUGUGUUCUCUUCAGACUUCGGGGGAUGCAGAUAUUACUCAGGGACAUGAACACUUGAAUAUUGCAAGAUUAGAGAAAGUAAGAAUUACUUAAGAUUUUAGAAUUUAUUGUUAAUUGCUUAAACAUAUAUACAUAUAUAUAUAUUUUUAGAUAUAUUUUUUGUGGCAGUGUGAACUGGCCAUAAUGCUGUAUGAUAGGUGUGAGAUUCAUUAAACUUGAUUUGCUAUAAUACAUCUGUUCAUAAGCUAUUGCAUAUUAUUUUCAAUGAAUUAUUUGUAGUGGUUUGGUUAAGGGUGUGAUUAGCUGACGUAUUAUUUGU